UGUACAUAUCUUCAUUGUUAGAGAAUUGUACAAGUUCAAUGCUGGAGGAGACAUCGUCAGAUACUUCGGGAGUACUUGAGUUAGAAUCAGAUACUGCAGCUGAAAGGAUGGACGAUUCGGCCAUUGGAACAUCAAAAGAAUCAACAGGUACCUCCAAAUCUCCCCUUACCCAAUUUGAUUGCUCCCUUGCUCUCUGCUCCUUCUGCCUAAGCUUUUUCAGUUUUUUCCUUUCCAACAACUCAGCUUGCCUACCAAUAAAGAAGAAGAAUGACGGUGAAAACAAGUUUCUGUAACUGCACAAGUGGAUAUAUAAUCAUGUAUCUUUUUCUUUUUGAUAACCCAAAAAUCAUUUGAAUGACGAACAGUUAGGAACUUGGUGAAUAAUGGGGAACCAACAAUCUCUAGACCAAAGCCCUGGG
rnacentral:lncRNA from 1 species